rnacentral:tRNA from 1 species
GGGCCCAUAGCUCAACGGCAGAGCGCCCGGCUCAUAACCGGACAGGUCUUGGUUCGAAUCCAGGUGGGCCCA